rnacentral:lncRNA from 1 species
ACCAAACAAGGAACCACAACCCUAGUUGUUACAUCUCCUUUUUCCAUAGUACCAACAUCUACAUGAGUUACUCGUUUGGCAACUCUGCUAGUGGCAAGUUCCCAAGGUCCCUUGCCACCUGAAACUGCUUCCGAAGCACUCUUAACACAAGACGAGUAGGCAAGAUUAGAUGAACCUUGUGAUCUUCAAUAACAACAAGGUAGUUGCUCGAGUUAAGUUACAGUUGCAUGCUUCCUUAUAUGUAGUCUCACAGUUUGAUGUAUGCUAACACUUCCCAUGUUCGUUGUUGAACUAGCACCUAGGCACAAGGGGAAACAAACAUCAGGGUUAAUGAUGGUGCUGGGUGAAGGUGGAGAUGAUGGAUGGCACUGGCUGCGUGGAUGGCUGGGAGGUGAUGGUGCUGCUGGUGGAUGGAUGGCGCUGGUUGGCGCACCACCACGCCGGCGUCGCCGUGGCGGCGGCCGGAGGUGGAGAAGGAGGUUGGGGGAGAGAGAUGUGUGCCAGGCCCGAUCGGAUCCCUCCAGCGCCUAGGGAUUUUGUUCCCCUCCUCUCAUCUGCACUUUGUGAUUUGGCCAUCUUUCUUCUCUUCUUUCUUCACAAGAAGGUCCUCCCACUUCUUUAUCUAGCCCCCUGGUUACUUCUCUUCAUAUCACACAAGUCUCUUCUUCCUUCUCUUCUCUUCUUCACUCUUCUCGAUAGCCACAUAGACGGAAUCUUGACGAUUAUUAGUGCCUUUGCGCACAUUUCUGCAAGAUAGACCAAAGACUAGUAAAUGAUCCUUUUUGAUGAUUAUCAAGCAAUAUUCAAUCAAUCAUGGCAAGAAUGGACGAAUAUGUCACGAUAGAUGCUAUAUUUGAGUACCAAAAUUAUAUAUGUGAAAUAUACUUAUCAAGUUCCCCCACACUUAAAUCUUUGCUUGUCCUCAAGCAAAGGCAUAUGACAAGAGCAAGAAUGUGAAUAGUGAACUGAGUAAAGAAUGUCCAAGUGAAGCAGAUCUCUAAACAAUGCAUGCUUUUGGACUUAGCUAGUGAAAAUUGAUGGUUAAGAGUGCUACAAAGCAGUAGGAUACUAGUAAGCAUGACCAUUUUAAACUUUUACAAUGAUAAAAGAGGAUCAACAAGUUUAAAUGAUGACUGCGCCAAAUGGUUCCUAAAGAGAGCACGAUCCAAAAAAAUAAAAAGAACUUAAACUUGUGAUUUGAUCACUUAUUACCAGGAACAUUGUGGUUGAACCACUUACUGAAUUUGAAGGAAGCAAUGAUAAUAUUUUAUUGACCUUACCAAAGGAACAUACCACCGAUCCCGAGAACAUGGUAUACACCUGGCUCAACCAAUUAUUAGUUUUUUUUGUCUGUCUCCCCAAAGUAACAUACCACCGAUCCCGAGAACAUGGUAUACACCUGGUUCUACAAUUACAUUUUUAUAAUAUAAUUUACUCCUAUCCGAUCCAACCAGAUUUCACAAGCCACCGAUCCAGGGAACAUGACAUGCUACUGUUAGGUAGAUCAGAUAAUUAUUCAUUAUAAGAUAAUGCUUUUUAUGAAUGAACAACACAUAAGCACAAAAAAAGGAAUCUUCACUUCUCCAUGUCUGGUUCACAUGCUACCGAUCCAGGGAACAUAACAUGCUAAUCCAUAGUGGUUAGGUGAUUGCUCUCAAAAGGAACACACUUGGCACAAAUUCAACAUCUAAACAUGGUGAUCUAGGUAUAUUGAGGUAAAAGCAGAAAAUGAUUAAGUUUUCUAGUGUACUAGGGAUUUGAGAACUCAAAACUAAUAACUUUCACUAAUUUCAGCAAAGCAAGCAAUAUGUAGAUCACUAGUUUACAUGGCAUUCAACAAUUAGUUCGCAUAUUCUCAUCAAGCACCAUAUGUCAAAUAAAAUUCAGUGGGGCAACAUUUAAGACAUGGCUUAAGCAACCCAAAUAACAUUUUAUUUCAGCAUGUAUCAAUGGAUGCUAUACUCAGAAUGGGUCAUGAAACAGCUCACCGGGCGCUAUGAAGUAGCACUCGCUUGAUCACUCUCUAAGCUGCAACUCUUCUCUUUUUGCUUCUCUAUCCUCAUGCCUACUCCAGCUUCUCUCUUCAUGUGUGCUCAUUGCUUCUCCUCAUCCCCAUGCCAUGGGUCCACCGGGGUCCCAGGGAAUGUCAUCUCAAACUUGGUCAGCACGUAGUGGAUCAUGCACAAGCAACAACCUGAAAGAGCACUCAAGCAAGGAGGCGAUACAAGUGACAGGGGUAAUGCCCUCUAAAUCAUCAAUAGAGUACCCAAUUACAUAAGCAUAGCUAUAAAGCACAUGUUUAGGAUGGUACAAAUCAGUAAGCUCAAUGCUAGUAUUAGAAUCACACGUUUCAUUAAGCAUGGGUAUAGCAUCAGGAACAUAAGUAUCAUGAACAGAGAUAUGAGCAAUGCCACUAACAGGGUAUGUAUGAUCAUGUCCAAGCAAAUAGUUUUUCAAAUCUACUUUAACAGAUGGCAUCAUGCAAUGCAAGGUAGAAGCAAAGAAAUCACAAGGCAUCAUGUCAUCAAGAGGAUUGGGUAAACCUGACACAUCACGCUCAUGUAUGACAAUAGGCCAAUGGAUCUCAGGUUCUUCAUCUUCAUCUACAACAACUUCUUGUACUUCUUCGAGAGUAGUAAAUGAUGAGUCUCCAACUUGAUCACUUGGUAAUUGCAGCUCUUGAUCAUCUUGUUCCUUGUCUUCUAGUUCAUCUUCUUCAAUCUGAGGUAUCUCAUGCUCAAGGCACUUGCUAUCGUGCUCAGCUGGAUGUGACGGUAUUGGAACCUCACAUGUAUCAAGGGGAAUUCCAGAAUUACUCAACUCAAGCUGUGAAGAAAUAGUACUGCCAGCGUUGAUGUUCUUCUCAAUCUUCUUUACUUCUUCCACUAGCUCAUUCCCACUCUUGAUCUUCUUCAUUUCAUCUAGUAUAACCUUCCUAAUAGGAUCAUCCUCGGCACUCCAAGUGAACUCGAGACUCAAAAGUGUGAGCUUGUCUAUGUCAUCGAACUCAUCUUGAGUGGGCACUUGUGUUGAAGGUGUUGGUUGACCAAAUGGAGGACCAUUUAACUCCAUUGGCAACAUCUCCUGGUGCUGAGGUAUAUGAAUAGGAGCUGAAUAAGACUGUUGUGGAGCAUAGUUGUGGCUCUCCUCUUCAUACCUAAAUCCCUGCAUUGGAUAACUAGAGGCAAACAAUGAGAUCUCAGGGUUGUUAUUCCUAUAUGAUAUAUUAUGGUUUCCAGGCCACCCAUAUGAGUAAUUGUUUUGGCAUGAGCCAUGCUGUUGAGAAAAGUUCAUACCAAAACAAUCCGGAGGAUGAGAGUAACCACGCUGACAUUCAGCGGGUGAAUGGCCCUGAAAUCCACAAAUAUGGCAUGUAGGAGCAACAUAAGGAUGGCCUCUAGAAUAAGCAUCAUAAGAGCUAGACAUAUCCUCAAAAACUAUACCUCGCUGCCGAGCUAAAUCAUCUAACUGAUGGGAAAUCUUACUUAUCAAGUCUUGAAUAGUUUCCGUGCUGUUUGUACUGUUGCUCGCAUAAGCAUGAUGAUCUGAAUAGUAAGCCAUAUCUGAGAAGAUGCAAUAACCUGCAGAAUGACAAAGCAAAGAAAGAGAAAAUAACUGGAAUAAGGUUUAGGGGUUAGAUAUAUAUCACAUAUAUAUAAAGCACAAAAGGUAAACAAGCUAAACCUAGUCUAAAGCCUCACACAAACGCUCGACGCUAGUCCCCAGCAAUGGCGCCAAAAUGAUCAAUUGAUAGUACAGCGGGGUUUUUACGCCCCAAACUACGGAUGUCGUGUUCUCCAAAGGGACUAGGAAAUCAGCGGCUACGCUCGACUAAAGCUAGGUAAUACAAUUCAGAUGAUGGGAACACAAAAUAAACCUAAACUAUGAAGAUUGUCGCCAAUGAAAAUGCGUAUAAGCAAAGGUAGAUUCAGAUUUUACUAACUUUCUUUGGUAAUUUUGUUUUACUAGAGACGCUAAAACACUAACAUAAAGGGAAGCAAUGGGACACGAACACAUAUAUUACUAUCAUACAAGUAACAAAGGGGAAGAAAGAAUGCUAUUACAGAGACAGAAAUAUAUCACAACACAAACAUAUAUAUAUUCACAUGAACGUAACUAACACAGGGACUACAGAACACACAUAAGCACACAUAUGCGAACAGAGUACUACACCAUGAUUCAGGUUACACAAGUAAACAAAUUAAACAAGCCACUUGACUAGUAUCACAGAUCAACAGAGUAGUAUUGAACAACUAAAAAUAGACAGUAGAAGUAACUAGUACAGGAAGCAAGUACUCUUAGAAUCUGAAUUUUACAGACUACACGUCAUAAACUACAGAAAAAUUCAGAGAAGAGAAGGAGAAAGAGAGAUGGCAGCAGGAGAUUAGAGAAAGAAGAAGCAGCAACUGGGGCAUGGAGAAAGGAGCAGCAGCAGUACGGGAUUCAGAGAAGAACAAAGAGCAGCAGCUAAAGAGAAGGGCAGCAGGUUGAGGCAACAGCAGCAAGGGGCGCUGGAGAUGGAGUAGUAACAGUAGGAAGAGAAGAAGGGCGGCAGCACGGGGUUCAGAGAAGAGCAGCAGCAGGUGGCGCGGGGAAGGUUAGGAGCAGCAACGAGAUUGGGGAAAGAAGAAGGUUAGGAGCAGCAGGAUAUUGAGAGUGGUGGCGCUGGGUGCUGUGGAGGCACGGUGGUGGUGUUUGAUGUCGUGGUGGUGAAGUGGAGAUGCGGAGGUGCUGGGUGAAGGUGGAGAUGAUUGAUGGCACUGGCUGUGUGGAUGGCUGGGAGGUGAUGGUGCUGCUGGUGGAUGGAUGGCGCUGGUUGGCGCACCACCAUGCCGGCCUGGCCGUGGCGGCGGCCGGAGGUGGAGAAGGAGGUUGGGGGAGAGAGAUGUGUGCCAGGCCCGAUCGGAUCCCUCCAGCGCCUAGGGAUUUUGUUCCCCUCCUCUCAUCUGCACUUUGUGAUUUGGCC